rnacentral:piRNA from 1 species
UGGUUUCUCAAUAUCUUCUAGCAGAGGCC